rnacentral:rRNA from 1 species
UCCGUAGGUGAACCUGCGGAAGGAUCAUUACAGUGUUCCCUGCCCUCACGGGUAGAAACGCCCACCCUUGUAAAUCUAUCUUGUUGCUUUGGCAGGCCGCCCCCGGGCACCGGCUUCGGCUGGCUCGCGCCUGUCAGAGGACCCCAAACUCUGAAUGUUAGUGUCGUCUGAGUACUAUAUAAUAGUUAAAACUUUUAACAACGGAUCUCUUGGUUCUGGCAUCGAUGAAGAACGCAGCGAAAUGCGAUAAGUAAUGUGAAUUGCAGAAUUCAGUGAAUCAUCGAAUCUUUGAACGCACAUUGCGCCCCGUGGUAUUCCGCGGGGCAUGCCUGUUCGAGCGUCAUUUAACCCAAUCCAGCUUGCUGGGUCUUGGGCUUCGCCUCCGGGCGGGCCUCAAAAUCAGUGGCGGCGCCGUCCGGCUCUAAGCGUAGUAAUACUCCUCGCUACAGGGCUCCGGACGGUUGCUGGCCAGCAACCCCCAAAUUUAUUCAGGUUGACCUCGGAUCAGGUAGGGAUACCCGCUGAACUUAAGCAUAUCAAUAACGGAGGAAGUACGACU